rnacentral:rRNA from 1 species
GACGAACCGAGCGAACGUUGUUCGGAAUCACUGGGCUUAAAGGGCGCGUAGGCGGGCAUUCAAGUCCGUGGUGAAAUCCCACAGCUCAACUGUGGAACUGCCUCGGAUACUGGGUGUCUCGAGGGUGGCAGGGGUAUGCGGAACUAUCGGUGGAGCGGUGAAAUGCGUUGAUAUCGAUAGGAACUCCGAUGGCGAAGGCGGCAUACUGGUCCACUUCUGACGCUGAGGCGCGAAAGCCAGGGGAGCAAACGGG